rnacentral:rRNA from 1 species
CAGUAUGGCAUAAAUACAGGCACCAGAUUCCAUUUGAUCUUGGAUGAUAAGCAGGGUCAUUCUUGGUUAGUACUUGGGUGGGAGACCACCAAUGAAUUCCAGGUGCUGUAGACU